rnacentral:rRNA from 1 species
UUGACUGUGCGAAGGUAGNAUAAUCAUUGCCUUUUAAAUGGAGGCUGGUAUGAAUGGCAAGACGGGAAUUAGACUGUCUCUUUCUUGUUUCUCUAAUUUAAUUUCUCCGUGAAGAAGCGGAGAUAUAGUCGUGGGACGAGAAGACCCUGUCGAGCUUUAAUAGACCCAGGCAGGCGAUUGGCGGUCAAAUUGCUGCUAAUUUGCCUAUUGUAGGAUAUUAGUUUUACGAAGCAGGGGGCUGCGUCUUGUAUGGGCUGUUUUGGUUGGGGCAACCGCGGAGAAGAGUUAUCCUCCGCUAAGUUGACUAGGAAAGAUUACAAUCUUCUUGUGCGAUUUCGCUUU